rnacentral:rRNA from 1 species
AUGGAGUGCAACAGAGAAGAGGCGUUGAGGGCCAGAGAAAUAGCUGCAAAAAUGCUGGAAAACAAAAACUUUCUUGGGGCUAGAAGGAUUGCACUUAAAGCUCAAAGGCUUUUUCCAGGGUUUGAGAACAUACACCAGCUGUUAACUGUCUGUGAAGUGCAAUGUGCAGCAGUUGCAAAAAUUAAUGAAGACUUAGAUUGGUAUAGUAUUCUCCAGGUGGAGGCAACAGCAGAUGAGACAGUCAUAACAAAGCAAUAUGAGAAACUUGCCUUUUGGCUCCAUCCUGAUAAAAACACACUCCCUGGUGCUGAAGUUGCUCUGAAGUUGGUCUCAGAAGCUCGCAAGAUACUGUGUGAUCGUACGGAGCGGUCUUUGUAUGACAUC